AAAAAAUUCCGGCCACCCACUCAUGCUCCCAUCUUAACUAACCAUCUAGGCUAUAUUGGUGAUCAAUAAACAGCUUAGCAACAAUAUAAAUAAUCGGCAGAAAAAUUGUGUACAUAUCCCAGGCAUCGAGACCACAUGUAAAAACUUGAUGUCGCUGAAAUGGUUUCCUAUAGCAAUCUUAUAAAGAGUUGGGCUCCGCUAUCACUUUUGGAACUUGCAUCUCUUG
rnacentral:misc_RNA from 1 species